AUCACUGUAGACUGUCUGAAACAAAGUCCACUCUUAGAUUUGAAAGAAUUCAUCAACAUGCGACAACCUUUCUUUUAAGGUAGUCUGGCAUGUUUGAUAAACUGCUAGUAACUGCAUAAUGUAUAUAUCCAUAUAAUGUAGAAUAAAGCCCGAAUUAGGUAUGGCAAAAGAAAAUCAUUGUAUGAAUAAAAUGCAACCUAUGAGUAAAUUUAUUAAAACGGCAACAUCACUAUCUUUCUAAAUUUAGAUAAGACA
rnacentral:lncRNA from 1 species